rnacentral:lncRNA from 1 species
AAGAAAAUCCUAAAAUUUGGGGGAAAAUACUUUAAUUUGGUGGGGAAAAUGUGAAAAAUUGGAGGAAAAAAAAUUUAAAAAUAUGGGGGAGAAAAUAUAAAAAAUUGGAGGAAAAAAACUUUAAAAUUUGGGGGAAAAAAUUCAGAAAAUGGAGAGAAAAAAGAAAAAAAAUCUGAAAAUUUAAUGGGGAAAAAAUCUGAAAAUUUAAUAGGGAAAAAAUAUUCCAGAAUUCAGGAAGAAACCCCAAAAAAUUGAGGAGAAAAUUCUGAAAAUUUGAGGGAAAAAAUCCCAAAAUUUGGUGGGAAAAAUCCCAAAAUUAAGGGAAAAAAUCCGCAAAAAUUUGAGGGGAAAAAGUCCCAAAAAAUGGGGAAAAAAAUUUAAAAAUUAAUAGAAAAUAUCCCAAAAUUUGGGGAGAAAAUUCCAAAAAAAUCCUUCAAAAUUCAGGAAAAAAUAUUCAAAUUUUAUUAAAAAUAAUCCUCAAAUUUCGGUCAAAUUUCUUCAAAAUUUGGGAGAAAAUCCCCCAAAAUUUCACCUCAAAAAUCCCAAAAUUUGGAGUAAAAUCUCCAAAAUUCUGAACAAAAAAAUUCCCAAAUUUUGGAUUAAAAAAUUCCCAAAAUUUUGGGAAAAAUUCCCAAAAUUUUGGGGUCAAAUUCCCCAAAUUUGGGGUCGAUCCCCCCCCAGUGUGAAAGGAGUGCGCAUGUAAAUGAGCUGUAUGCAAAUGAGGCGUAUGCAAAUGAGAGAUAUUUAAAAGAGCAAUAUGUAAAUGAGGCAAGAGGACAAGACCUCAACAGCACUUUAUGCAAAUGAGGUGUAUGCAAAUGAGGCAAUGGGGUCGUUUGGGGGGUUAUGGGAGGUUGAUGACGUCAUCGGGGUGGGAGGGGAAAUUUGGGGCCAAAUUCCCAAAUUUGGGCAUCGAUGACGUCACUGUGGGCGGGGCCAGGGGGGAUUUUGGGCUGAAAUUCCCAAAUUUUGGGGUCCCCGGGAUCAUUUUGGGGUCAAAUUCCGGAAUUUUGGGGUUUCUGGGCUGAUUUUGGGUCAAAAUUUUGCAUUUUUGGGGUCCCAGGACCCAAUUUUGGGGCCGAUUUCCCAAAUUUUGGGGCUCAAUUCCCGAAUUUUUGCCUCCCCUUUCCAUAUUUUGGGGUGCAGAA